rnacentral:lncRNA from 10 species
AGCUUCUUGGGAGGCUGAGGCAGGAAAAUCACUUGAACCUGGGAGGCAGAGCUUGCAGUGAGCUGAGACCGUACCACUGCACUCCAGCCUGGGUGACAGAGGGAGACUCCAUCUCAAAAAAAAGAAAAGUAUUAAGUCAUCUACAUUCACACUUCAUAACAUGAAUGUUUGGGGACCUCACGUUCUUUGUCAUAACUAAGACAUUAGCUGCGUAAACAGGUAACUGGAGAAGGGAUCUGAUGGUGCAAAACUCCUCAGUCAUGUUAAGACUUUCUGACUGUUCUUGUAGUUAGUAACAGAGCUAUUGACUGGUUUUAUAUAAAAGAAUCAAUAAGUUUGCAAAAUCUUUCUUCUGUCACACUCCCAUUUGUUUCAAUGCUGCAUUUGUUCUUUACACAUAUCCCAGGGGAAUAUAUCUAAGACUAAAAGUCCAGGGAAGAAAUGCUUAGUACUUGGAAUUUUCAUUUUGUGGAAUGGAAGUAAAGGCACAAAUUUUGGAAACAUUUUAAGGAAUAAAGUUCACAGAUCCCAUUAUCUUCCUGGUGGAGAAGUGUCCUUCUAACAAGACACAAUCCAGAAAGGACAGAGCAGAAGAUUAUAGUGACAUCUAAGUGAUGUUAAUUGAUUUAGAAAGGAACAGAUGGAUAUGUGAAUCUCAAAUUUAGAAAUGCAAGUUAGUGAAUCUACAAGUGAGGAGAGUACAAGUCCACCUUGUGGCAUCACAUAAAGGGGAGGGAAAACGAGCUAAAAGAUCAGGAAGAGUAAAUAUUUUGAAAACCAUGUCUAUAUUAUUCUGAAAAGAUAGAAAAAGAGAUCUCUUCGGGUUAGUGCAAGGUUGCUGUGAUGUUAACCUGAGCAGCUUCAGUGAAAUAAGGUACUUAUACCUAGAACUCAAAGAUAUUUCCCUGUGGAUUAAUUUUUUAGAUUUUACGUUUAUAUUCAUAAUCCAUUUUGAGUUAAUUUUUUCUAUAAAUCGUAAGGCAUACAGCAAUAUUGUUUUGUUUUUACAUUUUGUGUCUAAGCUCCAGGACCAUUUGUUUCUAACUCAAAGGUAUCAGUAGAGUGAAUUUGUGUUGGUUGAUUUUUGUGUUUUCUAGACUGUUUCAUUUUUAUAUCUGUUCAUCUUUGUGCCAGUGCUUCACUAUCUUCAUUACUGUGGUUAUAUAAUAGGUCUUAAUAUUGGACAAAGCAAUUCUUUAUUCUUUUUAAAUAUUGUUUUACCUAUUGUAGAGUCUUUGCCUUUCUAUAUAAAUUUUAGAAUAAGCUUGUCUAGGGCUACAGAAAACCUUAUUAUGAUUUUGAUAUGUUGUGCUAACUAUAUAAACAACAGUGUUCUAAUAUCUAGAAUACAUAUCUACAUAAAUAUGCUUGCAAUGUAAGUAACAGGUUAAUAAAAUUAAGAAAAUU